rnacentral:ncRNA from 1 species
GAAAAAGCGUUGAUGAGGAGAAGUAGGAAACAUUGGCAUCCCAGAGAGAAUCACCUUGGCUGGAAGUGAUUCAUGACCGAUGUUUUCCGAAAUGCCCCUCGGAGCCUCCUUUCGAACCGGAACAGAGACGUUCUGUAGUAGAUAGGAGCGGAGUUUCUCCGUUAUCAGGCUUGAGUGAGCUAAACGCACCGUUUAGCUAAACAGAGUGGAACCGCGCCGCUGAGCGUCUCUGUG